GGGGAGACUGGCAGGCUGGAAAGCCGGCGCAGGGAGGUCACCUUUGAUGUAGACAUCGUCGUCGGCGCGCAUGAACCACUCAUACUUGUCCAGGUUGAAGAAGAAAUAAAGAAGCACGGAAGUAAUAACAUGGGAUUAUCAGAAAACCUGACUGAUUGUGCUGCUGCUGGCAAUGGUGAUGAUGGACUAAUUCCACAAAGAGCAGAAAACCUGAAAAUCAGCAAUUUCCUAGGACGGAGAAUGAAGAGUAUCAUAGGGUUGAAGAUGGCAUGGCCUGUAUGCUGCAGGUUUUUCUGAGGAAAAACAUUCAUUUCCAUGUCUUCCUGUGAUCUUAUGCAUGCAUUGGAUUACACGGGACUGCAUUCCUUUGCCACAGUAAUAAAUUAACUCUUCAUAUUCUUGGUCAGUUGACUGAAGACUGAAAGCUUGUAUGGGAGCAUCUGAAAGGACACUUGACCCUUGAACAACAUGGGUUUGAACUGUGUAGGUCCACUUACAGGCAAUUUUUUAAAAACUAAACAAGGAUCAAAAUUGCAGUGUUUGCAGGUUGCUAAAUUUGCAUAUAUAGAGGACAAACUUCUCAAAUAAGUGAGUUCCACAAGACCAACUGCUGGACUUGGAUAUGCAUGGAUUUGGGGAUAUGCAGAGGUCCAGGAACCAAUCCCCUGGCAAAUACCGAGGGACAACUGCAUAUCUAUACAUUUAAAAAUGGUGACAUCAAAAAUCAAUUACUUGAAAAUUACUAGGAGAGUAGAUUUUAAGUUCUCAACACAACUGCUAAAUAUGUGAGGUAAUGCUUAUGUUAAUUUGCUCAAUUUUGCCAUUCCACAAUGUAUACACAUUUCAAAACAUUUGUAUGGAGUAAAUUUUGGUCAAUUAAAAAAUUAGAAAUCAAUUGGUAUUGAUAUUGUUCUGUUUCUUGGGCUGGGUGAUGGAUACAUUGCUAUAUUUAAUUUUGUUAAUUCAGUGAGCUGUGUAAUUACAAUUUGAUCACUUGUGUUUACUUGAAUAACUUUUUAAAUCAACUACUGUCAUGUCCAAUGUAAAUUGUUUCUUCUAAGCUUUCCUUUACCAAUCAAAUUCCACUGCCAACUAAACUUUACUGAAGUGCGUACAGACUCCAGGAAUAUAAUGAAAAUGAAGUGAGCUGGGUGUACCAUAUACUAGGGUGUUGCGGCCUCUGAUGAACUGAGAAAGAUGGGUCUAAUUUAAAGGGUACAGAUCCUACACAGCUCCUAGGAAUGGUUGCCAUAUGGGCUGUGGGUUGAGUGUUACCAGGUCUGCAAAUCUUACUUUUAUGUCAAAUUUACACUUUUUUAAUGUUGGCAACUAAUUGAAUUUUUUAAACACUGAAGGCCAAACUAAAUAUGUCUUUAACUAAAGAGCCCUCCCUCCAUAAAGAUCACCUCCCUAGUAGGGCCUCACUAAAUCUGAGUCCAAUUAAAAUACUUUCAUUUGUACUGCUGAUACUGCCAGCAAUUAGGGAAGCCUGCAUUCAAAAUUAAGUCUGAUUCCCCAACCUGUGCCAUUUCUUUUUUUUCUUUUUUUCUUUUUUUUUUUUUGAGAUAGAGACUCACUCUGUCACCAGGCUGGAGUGCAGUGGCGUAAUCUCAGCUCACUGCAACCUCUACCUCCUGGGUUCAAGCGAUUCUCCUGCCUCAGCUUCCCCAGUAGCUGGGACUACAGGCGCGUACCACCAUGCCUAACUAAUUUCUGUAUUUUUAGUAGAGACGGGGUUUCAUGUUGGCCAGGAUGGUCUCGAUCUCUUGAUCUCGUGAUCCGCCCACCUCGGCCUCCCAAAGUGCUGAGAUUACAGGCAUGAGCCACCGUGCCAGGUCUCCAUUUCUACUUUAAUAAACUUCCUAAAAAUAUGAUCACAGCUUUAUGUAAUUUGAAUCCUAAACUAAUCCCAUAACAAAGGUAUUAUCCCGAUUCACUGACGAGGAAUCUAGGCCAGAAGAUAACAGAUAACUUAAUGGAACAGUUUGACCUGAGUUGAAUGGCUUGAGUUCAAACCCCUCGCUCCAACAAUUGCCAUUUUAAUAAUUUCAGGAGGGUAAAUUCUCUAUAUUUCUGUAUUUUUCCAAUAAAAUGGGUACACUAAUAACACAUCACAAAAUUGUUGUGAGUACUUACAAAGCACUUAAAAACGUGUCUGGCAAACAUUAAUAGUAAGUACUAUGUAAGUGUUGCUAUUACUAAUUAUUCCUAUUAUUAAUUUCAGUGAAAUGAAAAUUAGAACAAUAACUACCUCUUUGGGUUUUGUAUUAAAUGAACUAAUCUAUUGAAAAUGUUUAUAACUGUUCCUGAGACAUAGUUAAUAUUCAAUAUGUGUUAAUUAUAUGUCUAAUUUCAUUGUCUUUCAAAUACAUUAUAUCUAAACCAUGCGGGUUAAUUCCUUCACUUAUGCCUGGUAAUAACAAAUACAGGUACUACCAUAGGCUGGAAUUACUUUCAUUUGUACUAAGCGUUUGAAAAGUUUAUAGCUUUGUAGUCUCAAGAUUAUGGAAAUAUUUGUAUCAUUUACAAAUCUGUAGUGAAAUCAAUCAUGCACUAUGUAAUGACUGUCUUGAUAGGGAUUUUAAUAAUGUAAUAAGAUUUUAUUCAAAGAAGCAGGAAUAGUUGCAACACUCAAAAGACAUUCUUUAAAUGUAGUCAGUCUUCACCCCUUCUUGUCUCCCUAGUUUUUCAAAAACUUGAAGCCCAAAUUAAAAAUCAGAAGAUAUCCAGGUAAUUCAGUAACUCGAAUUACAAAGUUAUAUGCUAACAUAUUUAACAUAGCCAUGAUUUUUACUUACUUGUGACCCAUUUCAUGAGCAAUUGUAAAAGCAAGAUUCAAGCCAUUGUCUUCAGCAAUAAUACAUUUUCUCUUUUCACUACACAUUCCACUCAAGUAAGCUAUACCUAAAAAAUACAAACAUUAAUUAUUAUAUGUCUGAAUGAAUAUGCAAAUAUUUAUACUAGUUAUUAGCAGCAGGAAUGAAAAUGGCAGUUGUCACGACUAAAAUGUCAGUAUUAAUCUGUGAAAUCUAGCCCUAAUAAAUGAAAUUUUAGGGGCAAGUGUAUAUGUAUAGGCCAGGCAAAAAAAUGUUCAUAUCAUUUUCAUUUUCAUAUUUUAGAUAAAAUUAUUUUACCAAUUAUCAAGUUCCCAAAAGGAAUAAUAUAAGAAUAUAGGUUAUAAAUACCAAUUUCAUCAUCAUGUAAGACAAAUGAAUAGUUAUAACUUGGAAAAUAUAAUCAAACAGCAAUGAUUAUUUUAAAUAUACUCAAUUAUUGUGAAGAACACAGUUUCAAAAAAAUUAAUGCAAAAUAAACUACAUAUAAAGCAGUCUUGAACUUACAUUUAUAUUUUGAAUUAAUACAAUUGUGAAAUUCUAUUUAUGAAAUACUAUGUUAACUAAUAUGGCAUAGAGCUAUCUAUCAUAUUUAAAAUACUAGAAAGAUUUUAUUUGAAAAUUUCUUGGCUAAAUGGUGUGUUGCAUAGUAUAUGAUACUGAAAUAUUAAGAUAAAAUUUUAGCAAGAUAUUUGAUCUUUUGGUAUAAAUUAUCAGUAAAAAUGGCAAUAUUUAAACUCCUUGAUAUUCUUU
ensembl:lncRNA novel transcript